CUCUCGGUAGCUUAGUUGGUAAAGCAUUAGACUGUAACUGAGUUAUUGUUUGCAAACAAACAAUUGGAAUGCGAUCUAAGGAUCGGGUGUUCGACUCACUCCCGGGAGA
rfam:Candida albicans SC5314 chromosome 1 sequence.